rnacentral:lncRNA from 1 species
CAGAAACUGAUGUAGAAGGCUCUUUGCUACUCAGAGAGGGAACAGUGUUUCUGCAUUUUUUAUUGUGUUCUUAUUUUCUGCCUUUAUCCAGAUUAAGGUACAUCUGCCCCUACUGUUAUGUUGCACCCAGUGGUCUUGCUGUGGAAAGAGGAGAGGAUUUUUGCUUUCCUCCUUGGGGAAUGCCUUAACCAUGAGAAGGUUAUGGAGCAGCACUGCAAACAAGAUAAUGAGUGAUUAAUGUACUCUGGUAACUCCAUGGGCACGCUGAGCGACACGCCAGCUGCUCCUGCUGAAGCCCAGGGGGGACCAGGUACCAGGGAAGCUGGAAGACCUUCUUGUCAAUCUUCUUGUCACUCGCCUAUUCCCACGACUGUAAUUGUUGAAGAUAUUAACCAUUUUUCAGACGUGGCUACUCGACACAAAGCUUUCAGGAAACCAAACCAGAAAUCUGCAGAGCUGGAAAGUUGAUAUUGGCUGAGAACAGCAGGUAUAGCAGUGAGAAAAUCUUCUUGAUAACCUGGGGCUGCUCCAGGACAGAAGGAAAGGUGCCUCCACUGCCAGGACUGCCCCAUCAGCCACACCACACCGGCCGUGAAAACAUGGCAGGCUCUUCUCCAAGGGUUAAAGUUUUAAGUCACAACUUUCACUGCAGUUUGCACUUAUGCCUAAUUAACUCAAAAUUAAUGGUCCAGCACCUAGUCCAACAGUUACGCUCAAUGGUGCAGAAAAAAAAUCUCUCUUUUAUGUUCGGGAUAAUACUUUUUUCCUAGAACAGUGUUGGUUAGUCUUGAAGACCAAAGAAUUGUAAGCAUAACUUCAGUGUAUACACUUAUUUUGCUUUUGUUUCUUGUGCAAUUGUUGAGCCUUUCCUAAGUAUUGGAAAAGCUAAUCCUUCAAUUUCCAUGUCUUUACAAGUUUCAUUUAAAAAAAUAAAUAAACAUUUUUUU